ensembl:lncRNA
AUGGCUCUCAAUCUUAACGUCGACGAGGCUCGAAGCAGCGAAGAUAACACAACACCUGUUGACGAUGCUCGUUGUCUUUCAAAUGGUGACGAGAAUACAGCUCAAAGUCAGCUUGUUACGCCAUCAGGUGUCCCGUCGUCGUGUGCACCUGAUAAAUCAGCGGCUCCGGAUAACCUCAAACCGGUGGUAUCAGUACCUUUGAGUGGCAGUAACAGUGGGUCUGAACCGGUGACGCCGGGGGAUUCACUCCAGGCUAUAACAACCCAGAGUCUUGAGCCCAAGUCCAGUGGAUGCAACACGUCUGCCUUGAGAUGUGGGGAAAAGCGGGAGAGGGAAUCAGACGACCCCUCUGAAGUUCCUGUGAAACGCCGCUUGAGACCAUCAGAGGAUAACGGGAAAGAAUGUUCACCAGAUUACGACCAGAGAUGUGCGGAGCUAUGGAUCGAUGGUGAAAUGGCUGCUUGUGAGGCUUAUGAAUUAUCAAAGUCCAGCAGCGACACCCAGCGCCGACAUGUUGUUCCACAACACGACAAUAACAGUUCUGUCAGUCGGCCUCCCACACAGAAGGACUUUGCACGUGCUGUUCGAGCCGAAGUGGCAGCCUGUUUUCAACCCCUCACAAAGUUGAUUAGUUUGAGUAUUGAGUGGAGCAGAACUGAUUUCGCUGAGGUGAUAAGUAGACUUCGUGCACUGCAGAGGGAUACCACAGAGUUGGGAAGUGAAAUCCGUAAUAUGCGAGCAGAUAAAAGACAGGCGUUAGAUGAAAUCUCUCUUAUGGAAGAAAGAAUGAGCGUCAUUCAAAGGUGUGUGUUAGAGACGCACCAAAUUAUGAAUACUACUAGAAAAUGAUGGGUCUGUUUAUCAUAGCAUACUGAUUUUGGUUCAACCCUAUUUCUGCUAAACUUUUCUUCUUUUUUUAUAUAAUUGUAUUAACGAGUGAUUAUAAUUUUUUUUUUUUUUUAAUGAUGUGCAUGCUUGUUUAUUACAUAACUUUUGUGUGUUAUUUUAAUUUUUUUUUUUUUAAAUAAAUUGUUUCAAAAUGGCCCUAAAAGAUGUCA